UACGUAGGGGGCUAGCGUUGUCCGGAAUCAUUGGGCGUAAAGAGCGUGUAGGCGGCUCGGUAAGUCCGCUGUGAAAGUCCAGGGCUCAACCCUGGAAUGCCGGUGGAAACUGUCGAGCUAGAGUCCGGAAGAGGCGAGUGGAAUUCCUGGUGUAGCGGUGAAAUGCGCAAAUAUCAGGAGGAACACCAAUGGCGAAGGCAGCUCGCUGGGACGGUACUGACGCUGAGACGCGAAAGCGUGGGGAGCAAACAGG
rnacentral:rRNA from 1 species